rnacentral:rRNA from 1 species
GGUUAAGCGACUAAGCGUACACGGUGGAUGCCCUGGCAGUCAGAGGCGAUGAAGGGCGUGCUAAUCUGCGAUAAGCGCCGGUAAGGUGAUAUGAACCGUUAUAACCGGCGAUACCCGAAUGGGGAAACCCAGUGUGAYUCGUCACACUAUCAUUAACUGAAUCCAUAGGUUAAUGAGGCGAACCGGGGGAACUGAAACAUCUAAGUACCCCGAGGAAAAGAAAUCAACCGAGAUCCUGUCUGAAUAUGGGGGGACCAUCCUCCAAGGCUAAAUACUCCUGACUGACCGAUAGUGAACCAGUACCGUGAGGGAAAGGCGAAAAGAACCCCGGCGAGGGGAGUGAAAAAGAACCUGAAACCGUGUACGUACAAGCAGUGGGAGCCCCACCACCAAAGCAUUCUCUGGUGUUGAAGGCCCUGCAAAGCAGCAUCGCGGUGGCGGAGCGUCGUUUGCGACGCCCAACACACAAAACAAGCGGUGAGUGCUUUGGGGUGGGGUGACUGCGUACCUUUUGUAUAAUGGGUCAGCGACUUAUAUUCUGUAGCAAGGUUAACCGAAUAGGGGAGCCGGAGGGAAACCGAGUCUUAAUUGGGCGUUAAGUUGCAGGGUAUAGACCCGAAACCCGGUGAUCUAGCCAUGGGCAGGUUGAAGGUUGGGUAACACUAACUGGAGGACCGAACCGACUAAUGUUGAAAAAUUAGCGGAUGACCUGUGGCUGGGGGUGAAAGGCCAAUCAAAC